rnacentral:rRNA from 1 species
GAUGAACGUUGGCGGCGUGCUUAACACAUGCAAGUCGAACGAUGAAGCCCAGCUUGCUGGGUGGAUUAGUGGCGAACGGGUGAGUAACACGUGAGUAACCUGCCCUUAACUCUGGGAUAAGCUUGGGAAACUGGGUCUAAUACCGGAUAGGAGCGCCUACCGCAUGGUGGGUGUUGGAAAGAUUUAUCGGUUUUGGAUGGACUCGCGGCCUAUCAGCUUGUUGGUGAGGUAAUGGCUCACCAAGGCGACGACGGGUAGCCGGCCUGAGAGGGUGACCGGCCACACUGGGACUGAGACACGGCCCAGACUCCUACGGGAGGCAGCAGUGGGGAAUAUUGCACAAUGGGCGAAAGCCUGAUGCAGCGACGCCGCGUGAGGGAUGACGGCCUUCGGGUUGUAAACCUCUUUCAGUAGGGAAGAAGCGAAAGUGACGGUACCUGCAGAAGAAGCACCGGCUAACUACGUG